AGAUGUGAGGGUGAUCUGGCUGCGACAUCUGUCACCCCAUUGAUCGCCAGGGUUGAUUCAGCUGAUCUGGCGGCUAGGCGGGUGUCCCCUCCCUUCCUUACCGCUCCAUGUGCGUCCCUCCCGAAACUGUGCACUCGGUCGAAGAGGACGACCAUCCCCGAUAGAGGAGGACCGGUCUUCGGUCAAGGGUAUACGAGUAGCUGCGCUCCCCUGCUAGAACCUCCAAACAAGCUCUCAAGGUCCAUUUGUAGGAGAACGUAGCGUAGUCAUCCCAUCACCCUUU
rnacentral:snRNA from 10 species